UACGGAGGGUGCAAGCGUUAAUCGGAAUUACUGGGCGUAAAGCGUGCGCAGGCGGUUUGUUAAGUCCGUUGUGAAAGCCCCGAGCUCAACUUGGGAAUUGCAGUGGAUACUGGCAGGCUGGAGUACGGUAGAGGAAGGUGGAAUUCCCGGUGUAGCAGUGAAAUGCGUAGAGAUCGGGAGGAACACCAGUGGCGAAGGCGGAUCUCUGGGCCGAUACUGACGCUGAGGAGCGAAAGCGUGGGGAGCGAACAGG
rnacentral:rRNA from 1 species